ensembl:lncRNA
UCUAGUAAUGAUAAAGUUUUAUUCUGUAUAUACCUUAUUUGCACAUGAACAAAAACUUUUUUCUUUCCCAGGAUUAUAAACAUUGUUCUUUUUUUCUAUUGUACAUUUUUUGUUUUAACAUGACUCACUCUGGAAAAUCAAGUGUAACAUACUAAACCACAAUCAAGGGAGACUGACAGAGAGGCCCACUUAGACCCAUCUGAAGCUGAGACUGUCGAAGUACUUGGUGGCCUGCCGUAAAAAACAAAGGCAGAGAAAGACUGACCGACAGGCCCAUCAAUCAUCUGCCAGACUGGCAGGAAGGUAAUAGACACGCAUACACACAAAAGGUUCCAGAAAUAAAAAGGCCAACCCACACGAUCCACACCAAGAGCACCAACAGAAUCAAAAACACUUCAUAUCACAUCUAGAGUACAUUAUUCCUGAGGUGACAGCAUCUGAUUUUAGCACUUAAGAGUAGAAUGAAACAUCUGGAUGGCUGUGGAGGUUAUGUUCUUUCUCCAUUGUUUUCCAUGCAUCUCUAAAGGGAUUCUGUUUAAGCGUUUCAUCAGAUCAAAUUACUUCUUUGAGCAAAGCGACUGAAUCACCAUGCCAGCAUUUUUAGCUAAAUAACUACAUUUCAUGUAUACUUCAGAACAUUUAAUACUAGAGUUACUACACUACCAACUGUUUUGCAGUUUUGUUAACACUUGCAUGGACAUUGGUUUACAUUCAUUAAAGAUCAUUACAUUAAGUAAGUAUCAAGUUUCUUCUAUUUUAUAUUCAUACAAACGCAUGGAAACUAACUGCUGUCUGUAAUGUAGGGGUAAGACAAGACAAAUAACUACAGCAAUACUAGCUGCUUUAAGAUAAUAUAUUGUAGAGCGAUAUCUUAAGCUAACUGCUAACACUAAUAUGCAGCAUGCUCACAGUCACCAUUGUAUCAUGCUAAUGUUGGCAGGUAUUGUGUUUACCAUGUUCCUUUGUGAUUUCCUGUGUUAUAACUGUAACAUUUCCAAAUUACUAAUAAAAAC